UUGCACUGUUCGUAAUCUGUUGACAAUUGUUUUCUGUCUUUAGGUUCCAUUCCAGUGCAAAAGUAAAGCAGUCUCACUUAGAUUGAGCUUCCUUUAAUAGUUGGUUGUUUUCUUUGUGUGAGAACACAU